rnacentral:misc_RNA from 1 species
GGACCGCUCGGUCUCGAGCCGCUGGGGAUUCGUCCCAGGCGAGCGCCCGCCAGAGUUAAACCAAACUCUUGUUAUUUAACCGGUCGUCUGAGUUAAAAUUUUGAAUAAAUCAAAACUUUCAACAACGGAUCUCUUGGUUCUCGCAUCG